AGCUGAAUGGCGCAGCGGAAGCGCGCCGGGCUCAUAUUCUCUCUAUUAAUAGAGAGGUGGUGACCCGGAGGACAGCGGAUCGAAACCGCUUUCAGCUA